rnacentral:tRNA from 1 species
GGCCGCGUGGCCAAAUGGCAAGGCGCUUGACUACGAUCGAUCAUCGAUCAGAUAUCAAGAGAUUCCAGGUUCGAUCCCUGGCGUGGUCG